rnacentral:rRNA from 1 species
UACGUAGGGUGCGAGCGUUGCCCGGAUUUAUUGGGCGUAAAGGGCGCGCAGGCGGCUCGGCACGUCCGUUGUGAAAGCCCCCGGCUCAACUGGGGAGUGUCGUGCGAUACGGUCGGACUGGAGGCCAGUAGGGGGAUGCGGAAUUCCGGGUGUAGUGGUGGAAUGCGUAGAGAUCCGGAGGAACACCAGCGGCGAAGGCGGCAUCCUGGACUGGUCCUGACACUCAUGAGCGAAAGCGUGGGGAGCGAUCCGG